GUGGGGAAUCUUCCGCAAUGGACGAAAGUCUGACGGAGCAACGCCGCGUGAGUGAUGAAGGUCUUCGGAUUGUAAAGCUCUGUUAAUCGGGACGAAAGAGCCUAGUGUGAAUAAUGCUAGGAAGUGACGGUACCGGAAUAGAAAGCCACGGCUAACUACGUGCCAGCAGCCGCGGUAAUACGUAGGUGGCAAGCGUUGUCCGGAAUUAUUGGGCGUAAAGCGCGCGCAGGCGGAUCUGCCAGUCUGUCUUAAAAGUUCGGGGCUUAACCCCGUGAUGGGAUGGAAACGACAGAACUUGAGUAUCGGAGAGGAAAGUGGAAUUCCUAGUGUAGCGGUGAAAUGCGUAGAGAUUUGGAAGAACACCAGUGGCGAAGGCGACUUUCUGGACGAUGUCUGACGCUGAGGCGCGAAAGCUAGGGGAGCGAACGGGAUUAGAAACCCCGGUAGUCC
rnacentral:rRNA from 1 species